rnacentral:rRNA from 1 species
AUUGAACGCUGGCGGCAUGCUUUACACAUGCAAGUCGAACGGUAACAGGGAGCUUGCUCCGCUGACGAGUGGCGAACGGGUGAGUAAUGCGUCGGAACGUGCCGAGUAGUGGGGGAUAACGCAUCGAAAGGUGUGCUAAUACCGCAUACGUACUGAGGUAGAAAGUGGGGGACCUUCGGGCCUCACGCUAUUCGAGCGGCCGACGUCUGAUUAGCUAGUUGGUGAGGUAAAGGCUCACCAAGGCGACGAUCAGUAGCGGGUCUGAGAGGAUGAUCCGCCACACUGGGACUGAGGCACGGCCCAGACUCCUACGGGAGGCAGCAGUGGGGAAUUUUGGACAAUGGGCGCAAGCCUGAUCCAGCCAUGCCGCGUGUCUGAAGAAGGCCUUCGGGUUGUAAAGGACUUUUGUCCGGGAGCAAAUGCCUGGUGUUAAUAGCACUGGGAGCUGAGAGUACCGGAGGAAUAAGCACCGGCUAACUACGUGCCAGCCGCCGCAGUAAAAC